rnacentral:rRNA from 1 species
AUUGAACGCUGGCGGCAUGCCUUACACAUGCAAGUCGAACGGCAGCGCGGACUUCGGUCUGGCGGCGAGUGGCGAACGGGUGAGCAAUACAUCGGAACGUACCCUGUUGUGGGGGAUAACUAGUCGAAAGAUUAGCUAAUACCGCGUACGACCUGAGAGUGAAAGUGGGGGACCGCAAGGCCUCACGCAGCAGGAGCGGCCGAUGUCUGAUUAGCUAGUUGGUGGGGUAAAGGCCCACCAAGGCGACGAUCAGUAGCUGGUCUGAGAGGACGAUCAGCCACACUGGGACUGAGACACGGCCCAGACUCCUACGGGAGGCAGCAGUGGGGAAUUUUGGACAAUGGGGGCAACCCUGAUCCAGCAAUGCCGCGUGUGUGAAGAAGGCCUUCGGGUUGUAAAGCACUUUUGUCCGGAAAGAAAUCGCGCUGGUUAAUACCUGGCGUGGAUGACGGUACCGGAAGAAUAAGCACCGGCUAACUACGUGCCAGCAGCCGCCGUAA